rnacentral:rRNA from 1 species
UGGCGAACGGGUGAGUAAUGCUUAGGAAUCUGCCUAUUAGUGGGGGAUAACGUAGGGAAACUUACGCUAAUACCGCAUACGACCUACGGGUGAAAGGGGGCGUUUAGCUCUCGCUAAUAGAUGAGCCUAAGUCGGAUUAGCUAGUUGGUGGGGUAAAGGCCUACCAAGGCGACGAUCUGUAGCUGGUCUGAGAGGAUGAUCAGCCACACUGGGACUGAGACACGGCCCAG